GGCUCAGGAUGAACGCUGGCUACAGGCUUAACACAUGCAAGUCGAGGGGAAACGACGGGGAAGCUUGCUUCCCCGGGCGUCGACCGGCGCACGGUGAGUAACGCGUAUCCAACCUGCCUCUGACUGAGGGAUAACCCGUCGAAAGUCGGCCUAAUACCUCAUGGCAUCGUCUGCGGGCAUCCAACGACGAUUAAAGAUUUCAUCGGUCAGGGAUGGGGAUGCGUCUGAUUAGCUUGUUGGCGGGGUAACGGCCCACCAAGGCUACGAUCAGUAGGGGUUCUGAGAGGAAGGUCCCCCACAUUGGAACUGAGACACGGUCCAAACUCCUACGGGAGGCAGCAGUGAGGAAUAUUGGUCAAUGGGCGAGAGCCUGAACCAGCCAAGUAGCGUGCAGGAUGACGGCCCUAUGGGUUGUAAACUGCUUUUAUGCGGGGAUAAAGUGAUGGACGUGUCCUUCAUUGCAGGUACCGCAUGAAUAAGGACCGGCUAAUUCCGUG
rnacentral:rRNA from 1 species